rnacentral:rRNA from 1 species
UACGAAGGGGGCUAGCGUUGCUCGGAAUCACUGGGCGUAAAGGGCGCGUAGGCGGACUUUUAAGUCGGGGGUGAAAGCCCAGGGCUCAACCCUGGAAUUGCCUUCGACACUGAGAGUCUUAGUUCGGAAGAAGGUUGGUGGAACUGCGAGUGUAGAGUGAAAUUCGUAGAUAUUCGACAAGAACACCAGUGGCGAAGGCGGACCAACUGGUCCGAUACUGACGCUGAG